rnacentral:lncRNA from 1 species
UCUGGGUUUAAAGGAAAUUUCUGCCAAUGGGAAGACUUUGGUUAGAGCUGCAAGCACUCCACAGAAAUGCAUAAUAGAGACUGGGAAAAUGUCACUCUUCUUAUUUUAUUCUACUGUUUUAACUGGUACUUAAAUUUCAAGAUUCUACCUUUCAUAACUGUCAAUAAGCCAUAUUUUCCUUUUUGCAUAUGAGUGUUAGCAGAGACAUCCUCCACCAUUCUCCACAAUUUCCCCAUCUGUACUAGUCUGCAUGCAUAGUAAGUCACAUGUUGCCUCAGUUUCAUUGUGAAGCAGAAAUUUUACCAUGAUUGUGUGAUAGUCAUUCUGUUCCAAUCACAAUCAUUCAUAUUUGCUUUUGAUCUGAGCCAAACUUCUGAGCUGUAGAGAGAUGCAUGCUCAAUAAACUUACCUUUCAGAUUCACUGGUCUCAUCACCAUGUUUGCCAAACCUUUCCAACUUAUUCCUUUAAAAAGUAGUUUGAAGCUCCUUUUCUGCAGCAAAUAUGGACCCCCAGUGAGUGAGAUGAAUUAGAAAAUCUGCACAUGACACAGUCAGUAAAUGUGUUAAAUAGAGUUAGUUUGGGCUAUUGCUACAUAUUUUAAUUUGAAAUUCUUGUAUCUGAAUUAUCAGUAUCAUAGCUCAGAUACUUUAGUUCCCCAUUAUGCUGAAUAAAACCAGAUAGCAGAUUUUGUCUGUCCCCAAUUCAGCUAUUGGUGCUAGUUAAUUUGAUUCUGUUACUUCCUUAUGACAUCUCAGUCCAUUCUAGAAAGACUCAAUAGCUUCCUCUAAUGUCCAUCCCUGCCAAAUAUCACUAAGCAGUGGCCUUCUUAAGGAAAAUAAUUCAAUAAAUUUAUUGAAGAAAAAGAAGAAGAAAGAUAGAAAAGGAUUAAGGAAAGCCUGAAUAAAAAAGAAAGAAAGAAUAUGGAGAUUGUGUAAGCAGCAUUUACUUUUAUAUACAUUUAACAAUAUUGGGCCAUAGGGUAUAGAAGAAACAAAUGUGAUGCAAGAGUAUGGCUUUUUUUGCAAAUAAACUUGAAUUUGAUAUCUAGUCAACUGCUUUAUGGACACUGAGUAGUGUUAGAAGAUGAGUUUUUUCUUAUGCAUAAAAUUAAAAUGUUCCUGCAUAAUUUUAUUGAGAAUUAAAUGAUAUAACAGAAUAUGGCAAAAAGUCUAACUUUUUCUUAAUUUUUAAAAUAAUUUUUUGUCAUACGCAAUUGACACAUGUUACAUUAGUUUUAGGUGUUUACCUUAGUGAUUUGACAAGUUUAUCCAUUAUGCUAUGUUACUCACAAGUGUAGCCACCAUCUGUCCUGUUACAUUGCU